UUUGAAGAUUUUCUGUCAUCAAUCGAUUGCAUGACAGUUGUCUUCAUUUGAAAAAGAUAUAUGAAUGGAUAUAUGAAUAAUUUCAAAUUCCCUGCAACAUAUCAUUAUUUUGCAUAUCAUACCAUGCAAUGCCAUGCCAUACAAUACAAUACAAUACCAUGCCAUGCCAUACCACACCAUACCAUACCAUGCCAUACCAUGCCAUGCCAUGCCAUGCCAUGCCAUGCCAUACCAUACCAUACCAUAUCAUGCCAUACCAUACCAUACCAUACCAUACCAUACCAUACCAUACCAUACCAUACCAUACCAUACCAUGACAUGCCAUACCAUGCCAUGCCAUACCAUGCCAUACGUAUUCAUAACUGUCAUAACAUAAUGACCAUACCACGCA